rnacentral:lncRNA from 1 species
ACAUCGGAUGGGAACAGAAUUGUGAUUAAAAAUAUAAGAGACCAUGGACCCUAAUAAUAAUAACUAAGUUUAAGCAUUUUGAGCCAGUAGUUUGGGUCCAACGAGUUAUUAUUGCUAGCAGGCACGAUCCUUAAAUAUAUAUCACUAAAGUAUUUUUUUCUCACCAAUCUCUGUAUUACUAUUAACAAAUCAAUUAUUUUAGACAAAAUCUAACAACUUUAUUAAGUGACGCUAACAACUUUAUUAAAAGAUGCAGGUUAA